rnacentral:rRNA from 1 species
GACCUGGUCGGGCGGUCUGCCUCACGGUACGUACUGUUCGACCGGGCCUUACCUCUUGGUGAGCCGGCAUUCCCUUAACUGGGUGUGUCGGGGAACCAGGACUUUUACUUUGAGAAAAUUAGAGUGUUCAAAGCAGGCCUAUGCCCGAAUACAUUAGCAUGGAAUAAUAGAAUAGGACGUGCGGUUCUAUUUUGUUGGUUUCUAGAGUCGCCGUA